AUAGCGUAUAUUAAAGUUGUUGCAGUUAAAAAGCUCGUAGUUGAAACUUGGGUCUGGCUAGCGGGUCCGCCUCACCGCGUGCACUUGUCCGGCUGGACCUUUCCUUCUGGAGAACCUCAUGCCCUUUACUGGGUGUGUUGGGGAACCAGGACUUUUACUUUGAAAAAAUUAGAGUGUUCAAAGCAGGCCUUUGCUCGAAUACGUUAGCAUGGAAUAAUAGAAUAGGACGUGCGGUCCUAUUUUGUUGGUUUCUAGGAUCGCCGUAAUGAUUAAUAGGGAUAGUCGGGGGCAUCAGUAUUCAAUUGUCAGAGGUGAAAUUCUUGGAUUUAUUGAAGACUAACUACUG
rnacentral:rRNA from 1 species